GUGCUCGCUCUGGCAGCACACUAAAAUUGGAACACUGCAAAGAAGAUUAGCUUGGCUCCUGUGCAAGGAUGACACUCAAGUUUGUGAAGUAGUCCAUAUUAUU